UUGGAUAGUUUUUAUGCAGAUGUCAAAAAGAUUAGCCAAAAGAGAUGCAGCUCAAGAUUUUUUUUUGCUUCUUGCGCUACGUCAGUUUACUUACUACAAGUAAUGGGUAGUAUGUACGCCGGCUAUCAGCUCACUCUGAGAAA
rnacentral:sRNA from 1 species